CUGUCAUUGUCAUCCAUUAAACCAUAUAUAUGCAAAUCAUAACAGUAAAUAGCAAACAAACACCUGCAACAAUUAAACACCCCUCAUAUUUCUCUAAUUGGUAAUAGCAUUGCUGAGAGCUUGGAAGAUUGGUAAACAACUUUAGAUUUAAAAACUGGGGGUUCUUAUGACAAUAAGACAUCUAAAAUUUCCUACUUCAGAAAAAAUGUUCCCUUCUACUCUUGAAAUUGAAAAAAGAACUUUGCCUUGUUUCAAGUUUUUGAAAAUACUGUCUUUUUAGUAGAUUUCUUGGAGUUUAGGUAUUUUACAUUUAAAAAAUAGGUCAUUGCAAAAUUAAAAUGGAAAUUACAAAUUCAGAGGGUUAAAACAAGACAUUUCUCAGCCAAAUAAGUUAUUUGUUCUUAUGUUUUACCUUGAAAUAGAAUUCUGACAUAGUAUCUGUGACAACCCACAGCAACGCACUCCUUUAAAGCAUUCUGAUAAAAGUUUCUCUAGGAAUUUCUUUAUCUAAAUUUUCUGUUGAGGUAAAUAUGGAUAUUUCAUAUUUCUCCUGCAAUGUGUUUUAAAAAUUAUCAUCCAUAUUAAAAUUACCACAUUUGUCUUAUGCAUACACUCUGAACCAAAUAUUUUCCAAAUUUUCCUCUACUGAUUAUGUAGUAUUGUUUUGAAUAUUUCAGAGGCACUCCUUUGUCAUACAGAUCACAUUAAUGUUUUCCACUUCCAUCUGAAUGCUGAGAAUGAACACUUAAAUAACCUGGAUACAUCCUCUAGCUUCAAGGAGUAAUAGCAGCUGUCCCAGACAUUAGUAAGUUUUAAAAAGCAAUAGAUUUUGUUUAGCUUUCAGACAAAGUGUGAAACUCCUUGUAAGUCAUGUUUCUGUCCUGCAUUAUAGUGGAAGAAAUGUUCCCUAUUGAGCAGAAAAUUGAAAAAAAAAAUUUAAAAGUUUGAGAACAGAGGGGUGAGUUUCUGUAUGCAAUGAGUGUGGUUUACAUCUGAUUGUGGUUUAGGGUUGCCAGUUUUCAAAGAGAAACACUGUUAGGUCACUGAGCUCCAUAGAAGUAUAUGUUUUCUUCAAAGUGAGUAGGAAAGUCUAACUCUUUCUGCUCUUAUGUCAUUCAAGUAAGUGGGCCAAGAGCUAAAAGUUCCAGCUGGUGAGAAGAAGCAUGUUUAUAUUAUGCUUGUAUUCUGACAAAAUUCUCAGUGCAGUGAGUAAGGGAUUUGUAUGAGAACUGAAGUCUAAUUUCCAAGUUCUACCUUAAAUGGUUUCAUAUGUUGGCCAAAAUCUGGGUUACUUAAGGAAUAACUGUAAAGGAAAUAAUCAAGGACAUCAUAGCUCUAAUCGAUAUUCCUUCUCCCUGCCUUCUCUUCCACUUCUGAUGUUGGGAUUCAUUUUUUUUCUGUCAUGUUCAUGCUCUGUAGACUGCUAAUACUGUUUCUUUCAUUUUUAUUUCCUCCUGAUCUUUUUUUGGCUAUCAUUCUCUGAGGUUAAGUUUCAUGUCUUCUAAUAGUUCCAAGGUAAAAAGCUAUGCCUUUGGACAUUCACAGAGAUGAUGCUGCCCUUUGGAUUAAAGUCUACAGUUGCUCCUUUGUUUUAAUUAACCAAAGGAUGUUGGAGGAAAGGUAUAAAAAGUAUUACACAAUCUUUCUUGUCCUCAGCUCCUUCUUCACUCAGAGUCUUCAGGGUUGUUCUUCUCACAUGUUCUCACCCCAUUUUCCUCUGGCCACAAUUAUAGCUGAACAAUAAUGUUGAUGGUUUUGUUAUUUUUCUUAAAUAUGUUACCACAGAGGCAAUAUCACUGUUUCUGAUUUGGCCCAGCCUUUGCCAGAGGAAAAUCCAGCUGUGGAGCUGUCACGGACAGAGGAAGGCCUGGAGGAAGCUUCUGGCAUCUCUUCACAGAAGACGCCCCUGCAGUCCCAUCAUUACCAAAGCUUAGCCAUGCAAUCCCAAUACAGAGACUUAAGCUUACCCUCAAUUUUCAGCUUAUUGAUUUGGAUACCAAGAGUGAGAUAUUUGAUUAUGCAGAUUGAAUUGCCUUGAAAAUCCCAGAAAUUCAUGAAUGUAAAGAAGAAAGACAUCAAACAUUAUGCAGGUGAAGAAAAUUUUCCUGAUGUCGUCCCUAAUCUAAAGCUCCCUAGCACAGAAUGAGGCCAUUUCCUCUUGUCCUGUCACGGGUUGCCUGGGAGAAGAGGCUGAUCCCCAUCAUGCCACACCCUCCUUUCAGGAGCUUGGAAAGAGACAGAAGGUUUCCUCCCAGUCUUCUUUUCUUCAAACUGAACACCACCACCUCUGUCCAUUCCUCAUGUGACUUGUGCUCCAGACUCUCAAACAACUCUGUUGACACACUCCAGCACCACAAUGUCUUCCUUGAACUGAGGAGCCCAGAAGUGAAUACAGGAAUUGACGGUGUUGCCUCACCAUUGCUGUGUACAGAGCCACAAUCACUGCCCUGGUCUUUUUGGCCAUAACUGCUUCUGACAUGAGCCAGGAUGCCCUUGGCUUUCUUGGGCACCUGGGCACUUGUUGGCUCAUGUUCAGCUGCUGUAAACCAGCACACCCGGGUCCUCUUCCUCCAGGAAGC